UGUAGGUAUUUACCGAUGUUGUUACAACGUGAAGUAAGUAAUUGUAAGUAUUUACCGACGCUGUUACCACUUGAAGCGAGUAAUUGUAGGUAUUUACCGACGCUGUUACAACUUGAAGCGAGUAAUUGUAGGCAUUUACCGACGCUGUAACAACGUGAAGAAAGUAAUUGUAUGUAUUUAACAAUGCUGUUACAACUUGAAGCGAGUAAUUGUAGGUAUUUACCGACGCUGUUACAAGUUGAAGCGAGUAAUUAUAGGUAUUUACUGACGCUGCUACAACUUGAAGCGAGCAAUUGUAGGUAUUUACCGACACUGUUACAACGUGAAGCAUGUAAUUGUAGGUAUUUACCGACGCUGUUACAACUGGAAGCGAGUUAUUGUAGGUAUUUACUGAUGCUGUUACAACGUGAAGUAAGUAAUUAUAGGCAUUUACCUAUGCUGUUACAACGAGAAGUAAGUAAUUGUAGGUAUUUUCCGACGCUGUUACAACUUGAAGCGAGUAAUUGUAGGUAUUUGCCGAUGCUGUUACAACUUGAAGCGAGUAAUUGAAGGUAUUUACCGACGCUGUUACAACUUGAAGCAAGUAAUUGUAU